rnacentral:rRNA from 1 species
AACGUAGGAGACAAACGUUAUCCGGAGUUACUGGGCGUAAAGGGCUCGUGGGCGGCCAACUAAGUCAGACGUGAAAUCCCUCGGCUUAACCGGGGAACUGCAUCUGAUACUGGAUGGCUUGAGAUUGGGAGAGGGAUGCGGAAUUCCAGGUGUAGCGGUGAAAUGCGUAGAUAUCUGGAGGAACACCGGUGGCGAAGGCGGCAUCCUGGACCAACACUGACGCUGAGGAGCGAAAGCCAGGGGAGCAAACGGG